rnacentral:rRNA from 1 species
UACAGAGGGUGCGAGCGUUAAUCGGAAUUACUGGGCGUAAAGCGUGCGUAGACGGUUAUUUAAGUCGGGUGUGAAAGCCCCGGGCUUAACUUCGGAAAGGCAGUGGAAACUGAACAGCUAGAGUAUGGUAGGGGCAGAGGGAAUUCCUGGUGUAGCGGUGAAAUGCGUAGAGAUCAGGAAGAACAUCGGUGGCGAAGGCGGCUCACUGGCUCGGUACUGACGCUGAGGUGCGAAAGCGUGGGGAGCAAACAGG